rnacentral:tRNA from 1 species
AGGACUGUAGCUCAGUGGUAGAGCAACCAGAAGGUCCCAGGUUCAAUCCUUGACAUUUCCA